AGUGCUUGCACUCUGUGAAACAAGAUACAGGCUAGCGGCGGACGGGUGAGUAACACGUGGGGUAACCUAGCCCCCAAAGAGAUCGGGAUAACACCUGGAAACAGAUGCUAAUACCGGAUAACAACAGAUGAUGCCUAUCAACUGUUUAAAAAAGAUGGUUCUGCUAUCACUCUUGGAUGGACCUGCGGUGCAUUAGCUAGUUGGUAGGGUAACGGCCUACCAAGGCGAUGAUGCAUAGCCGAGUUGAGAGACUGAUCGGCCACAUUGGGACUGAGACACGGCCCAAACUCCUACGGGAGGCAGCAGUAGGGAAUCUUCCACAAUGGACGCAAGUCUGAUGGAGCAACGCCGCGUGAGUGAAGAAGGGUUUCGGCUCGUAAAGCUCUGUUGUUGGUGAAGAAGGACAGGGGUAGUAACUGACCUUUGUUUGACGGUAAUCAAUUAGAAAGUCACGGGCUAACUACGUGCCAGCAGCCGCGGUAAAU
rnacentral:rRNA from 1 species